rnacentral:rRNA from 1 species
UGGGGAAUAUUGCACAAUGGGCGCAAGCCUGAUGCAGCCAUGCCGCGUGUGUGAAGAAGGCCUUCGGGUUGUAAAGCACUUUCAGCGGGGAGGAAGGCGGUGAGGUUAAUAACCUCACCGAUUGACGUUACCCGCAGAAGAAGCACCGGCUAACUCCGUGCCAGCAGCCGCGGUAAUACGGAGGGUGCAAGCGUUAAUCGGAAUUACUGGGCGUAAAGCGCACGCAGACGGUCUGUCAAGUCGGAUGUGAAAUCCCCGGGCUCAACCUGGGAACUGCAUUCGAAACUGGCAGGCUAGAGUCUUGUAGAGGGGGGUAGAAUUCCAGGUGUAGCGGUGAAAUGCGUAGAGAUGUGGAGGAAUACCGGUGGCGAAGGCGGCCCCCUGGACAAAGACUGACGCUCAGGUGCGAAAGCGUGGGGAGCAAACAGG